rnacentral:ncRNA from 2 species
AAUAUUGGACAGGGGAGCUCAUGAUAUGGGCUGAGAAAGGGCUUUAUAGCACCUGACCCUAAAAACCUGAUCGGGAUAAUGCCCGCGUAGGGAAAGGAGUUUAAAGCGCA